GGAGCUGUAGGAGGAAGCUGCGCUGUUGGAGAGCCUGAGCAGUACACACCAUAUCAGGCACAAGGAAGGAGGCCCUGAGUGUGGUUCACAUUCAUUCAUUAACCUAGUUAAUCAUGCACUGAGGGAGAAAGAGUGGACCUAACAGAGCAGGUGGCUGAGUUGGGAAGACCAAGGCAGCUGGCCACUCUUCUCAACACAUCAGGCAAAGGAUCAAGAAAAGGCCUCCAUCCCUCUCCCUUGAAGCCAGGAAAAACAAGAGGACACGGGAAUGUGUGGUUCACGUUCAUUCAUUAACCUAGUUAAUCAUGCACUGAGGGAGAAAGAGUGGACCUAACAGAGCAGGUGGCUGAGUUGGGAAGACCAAGGCAGCAGGCCACUCUUCUCAACACAUCAGGCAAAGGAUCAAGAAAAGGCCUCCAUCCCUCUCCCCUGAAGCCAGGAAAAACAAGAGGACAUGGGAACGAUUGUAAUUCCUGGGUAGUCCUCAUAAGCAAGUUCUUCAGAGACAAGGACAGACUCGCAUGCCAGCAACUUGCUAAAAGAAAUCCCCUGAUUAACUGGAGAUUAAGCAACUGGAGAGUUCUCAACAGGAAAUUUACAAAUCAGCUGAAAGACAGGUUGGUGCUCAGAUACUGCCUACCCACAGGACCCAGCAAGUAUAUUUCCAGCACAUAAGGAUUGGGGUGUAAGGAGGGGGACAAAAAUGCCUUAUCUCUCUCUGCUUAUAACAUCAAUGAAUCUUUGAAAAACACUUAACUAAGGGGAGUGGUCCCAGAAUGAAAAGAAAUCCAGCCUGUGAACUGAGAACUGCCUGGUGUGGUGAGAGGGAUGUUGGUUUCAAAUCUUAUUGAGCUUGCUCAAGUUUAGAAGUUAGUUUGAGGUUUUAUCUUUUUAUUUCUUUUGUAACCAAUUCUGACUUUUGUGCCU